GGACAGUUCAUUUCGAAACAUUUCUGCUAUGCCGUUGGUUACCAACAAGCUUGGGCUUUCAGCUUCAUCCAUGGGAAUUUGCUUCGAGGAUGUAGUUGCUACAAGCAAAGAUGUACAUGGACCAACACCACAAAUGCAAAGAGAAUUGCAAUGGUUUAAGGAGGCGGAGAGGAUAGUAUCUGCAACUACUAAAAUAAAUCACUGCAGGGUAGCUUGACAGCUGAAGAAUUAUUCAAAGAAAGUCACAAGGAAUUAAGGAGAAAAAUGGAUGAAUAACACAACAUCUCCUUAUUCCGUAAUAGUUGCCCUCACAAUUAUUUUGUUGUAGCUUUUACUGUUCCGGGAGGAAAUAAUCAAAAUUUCAUACCCCAGCAAUCCUUACCUCUCCCUUCUCAGAAGAAAAAUUCCUUAAAUCCUUACCCACAAAGUUGAUUUUAGGUCUUUGUUUGCAUUUUAUCUCCAUUAGUCAUAAUAACAACUUUUCUUUCUACCA